rnacentral:rRNA from 1 species
GAUGAACGCUGGCGGCGUGCCUAAUACAUGCAAGUCGAGCGAACGGACGAGGAGCUUGCUUCUCUGAUGUUAGCGGCGGACGGGUGAGUAACACGUGGAUAACCUACCUAUAAGACUGGGAUAACUUCGGGAAACCGGAGCUAAUACCGGAUAAUAUUUUGAACCGCAUGGUUCAAAAGUGAAAGACGGUCUUGCUGUCACUUAUAGAUGGAUCCGCGCUGCAUUAACUAGUUGGUAAGGUAACGGCUUACCAAGGCAACGAUGCAUAGCCGACCUGAGAGGGUGAUCGGCCACACUGGAACUGAGACACGGUCCAGACUCCUACGGGAGGCAGCAGUAGGGAAUCUUCCGCAAUGGGCGAAAGCCUGACGGAGCAACGCCGCGUGAGUGAUGAAGGUCUUCGGAUCGUAAAACUCUGUUAUUAGGGAAGAACAUAUGUGUAAGUAACUGUGCACAUCUUGACGGUACCUAAUCAGAAAGCCACGGCUAACUACGUG